GGCCUCACUGCGGAGGACUGCGCCAUCUGGUUCGGCAGCUGAGCCCAGGCGUACUGCAUGGCCGCAUCAGGUCGGCCAGUACCACCCACCUCUUCUUGGGCUUGCGCUUCGGCAUCGUGCAGCCGCCCUCCUGCGCACGCCUCCCCUGCUGCUUCGCGGCCGCCUCUUCGCAGUGUCCAGGUUGCAGGAAAGGGUAUGGAAGUGAUGGCAAGGCGUGAAGAGGGGUGCACCUUCAUGCUUCUCCCCAGGCCCAGGCAUUGUGCCGACACCACCGAGCUCCUGCCGCCGCGUGCGCUGCAAGACCAGACGACUGCCGUGGAUUCCAGCUGCUGGUCGUGUGCCCACAAGCACGCCAUAGCAGUGGUAUAUCGGUAUGUGCGGGAAUGGCCUACGCAGUUAGCGUAUGGCUGUGGGCACGUACUCGGGAGGAAUGAAGGCUUACACACAACCCAAAAGUCCAAGAAAAGGUUCACUAGCGAAAAGGUUGUGUCGGAGCUGAGGACGCGACACGAUAGACAGCCCGACUGCAAAGCCCGCGCUUGCAGUUACAGUGCGGCAUUAUCGAGCAGGUGCGCUAGGCGUCUAAGGCACAAGCCACUGGGCUGCCUGGCAAUGACCGCCUCAGAGGGAGUCCUUAAAGUGCUUCAGAUAGCGCCGGGUGUGCCGCGGUAAUGGAUCCGCCAUUCCAGAACACAAUCCAUGUUGCAUGGGAACCCCAUGUUUUGGCUAACCCGCAGACAGACCUUCAUUUCCGCUAAUAAGACGCCUAUCUGACCCUGAUCCAGCAAUAUCAAACCCUGCACAGCGUCCGUACCAUUGGGGCCCUCAAUCAAGUUGACUUUGGGGCCGGUCUCUAGCACUAACUCGUGCCUAUGAAGCUCUGUUCAGAUGGGGGGGUGUCAGCUGGCACAGGGGAAGCAGUUUAGCAUCCCAGGAGGAUGGGUGAAAACGCAUGGCGGGGUCAACUAGGACUGGGGCUCCGUACGGCAACCCUUACAAGACGGCCAUGCCUAGCCCAGUCACUACAGGACGGAGCCGGGAGGACACACGGCUGCAAUGAAGACAUGCUUACGAAACGCCCGCGAGCAGCAAAGUUUCCCAAACUUUCCUAGCUCACCAUGAAGUCCUAGACGUUCCGGCGGCCCAGGGCGCAAACUUGCAAUCCAAGAGCGGGCCAGGUGAAACGGUUGGUAAGAUCAUUGGCAUGCAUCGUUACAGCAUUGCCAUGGCCGCAACAAUUACCUUUAGCUUGAGCCGCUUAUAGCACCUCUCGGAUAGAGACCAACCUCCGCUAUGGCUGACUACAACAGAUCAACGCAUGCCCGAGCACACUUCAUCGCAAAGUAUAAUGUAUCUAUUGCGGGCAUCGCCCAGCCACGCGGCUCGGUUCCGUAAGCAACCAAGCAUUUCCUGUCAGAUGCCCUGCUCCCAGACCCCGACGGGACAACCCGUUAUCAUUCAUGGCAUACCAUCAUCGAGAUUCAGAUCGGCAUCUCAACCUAAGGAAACAGCGCUGUAGCAAAGUGUGUAACUUUCCCAAGCUCCGUACCGGCGUUGCACUCUGAUUGUAAUGCCCUGCACACCGUUAGCCCUCAAACCUUCUAACUUGGAGACGCUGUAAUACACUCCUUCUUGGCGAGCAUUAUCGUCCAUUCUGAAUGGUGCGUGGAUAGGAAGGCCACAGACGUAACCUCUGCAUAUUGAAGCAUUUUUCUCCACCUGACGACAGCAACGUAUUUUUGUAUCAGGGCCCAAACAAAUGAGGGGCUUUUGACGCACUGUAACAGUUCCCAGCGUCUUUUAAGCCCAUGCUGGAGCUGUGGGGAAGUCGCCUGUUCCCCGGCCAGAGUGGGCUAUAAAUGUAUACUCGUAUCCGUGUUCCUACGGAGUUAAAGCCGACGCCUCCACAGGUUCUUGAGGUGCGUGGAG
rnacentral:lncRNA from 1 species